UCAGACAGGCAGGCCUCAUGAAGUUUGCAAUAUCAUGAACUGGCUACAGAGGAAGAAGUGAAGAUGUGAGUCAGCCUGGAGUUCAUCCCACUUCAACUUCAAUUAUCUUUGGGACGUGGACAACAGCCUCGGCAGCUAAAAGAAGAAAGUGCAGGGGUGGAAUAAGAAACUUGAUCAGAGCAGUUAAAAUCCAUGAUCCUUCUGGGGUGAAUGGCAGAGGAAACUGACCAGAGGCAGACAAAGGUCUUGUUGAGUAGUUUAAAUGGCCCAUCUGAA
rnacentral:lncRNA from 1 species